rnacentral:rRNA from 1 species
UACGUAGGGGGCGAGCGUUGUCCGGAAUUACUGGGCGUAAAGGGUGCGCAGGCGGCGCCUUAAGUCAGAUGUGAAAUACCCAGGCUUAACUUGGGGGGUGCAUUUGAAACUGGGGUGCUUGAGUGCAGGAGAGGAAAGUGGAAUUCCUAGUGUAGCGGUGAAAUGCGUAGAUAUUAGGAGGAACACCAGUGGCGAAGGCGACUUUCUGGACUGUAACUGACGCUGAGGCACGAAAGCGUGGGGAGCAAACAGG